UAACUUUGAGAAAUCAUAUUCAAAUGAAUGUGCACUAGUUAUUUUGGUUUUGCUACUUCAAUGUUGGAAUGGAAUACUAUGUGUACAAGUUUUAUUGUUUAGCUAACCGAAGGCAAUCACAUUGUUAUUCUUUCCAGUGACAAUGUGAAGCCCCAAUACAUGAAUAUUAAAGUUUUACAAAACGAAUAAUAAUAUCAUUAGAUAGUGAGACAUAGAUCCACAGCUUACAAGACACAUCCAUCCUAGGUUCAAGGUAACUUCACAAGUGCAUCAGAGGGGUUGAAAACUACACGUAAAAACUCCUUCUCCAAGAACCCUACAUAAAAGAAAGCAAGGGAACUGUGUGAGCAAGCAGAAUUGUUUUUCUGAUACAAAAGCUUUGACAUUGAUAUUCAGUAUGUAUAUUACUUACACUAACUCAAAUGUGCACAUCAAGGUUUCCGUGCCUUGUUUUUCCUCAAUAGUCCGAGGAGAAAACACCGUGAUAAGGAUGACAUAAAACGAGUGACCAUAGAACCGAAGAACUUCACUUAUCUUCACAUGUAAGCUGCAGUGGUACAAAAGUUUGCUCCUUUAAAUGGAAACAACUUAUAUGAGAUAACAUGAGAAUAAUAACACUGAGUUGCAGACAUUCUUUUUC
rnacentral:lncRNA from 1 species